rnacentral:rRNA from 1 species
UCCAGACUCCUACGGGAGGCAGCAGUGGGGAAUAUUGCACAAUGGGGGGAACCCUGAUGCAGCGACGCCGCGUGGGUGAAGGAGCACCUCGGUGCGUAAAGCCCUCUCGGCAGGGAAGAAACAGACGGUACCUGACUAAGAAGCCCCGGCUAACUACGUGCCAGCAGCCGCGGUAAUACGUAGGGGGCAAGCGUUAUCCGGAUUCACUGGGUGUAAAGGGAGCGUAGACGGCGACGCAAGUCUGGAGUGAAAGCCCGGGGCCCAACCCCGGAACUGCUCUGGAAACUGUGCGGCUAGAGUGCUGGAGGGGCAGGCGGAAUUCCUAGUGUAGCGGUGAAAUGCGUAGAUAUCAGGAGGAACACCGGCGGCGAAGGCGGCCUGCUGGACCGUGACUGACGUUGAGGCUCGAGAGCGUGGGGAGCAAACAGGAUUAGAUACCCCAGUACA